ACUAGGAUUUAUCCUGGGAUCACAAUGGGCUUGAUUUGCAAACUUUAUUAGCGAGGAACAAUUGGAGGGCAAGUCUGGUGCCAGCAGCCGCGGUAAUUCCAGCUCCAAUAGUGUAUAUUAAUGUUCCUGCAGCUAUUCGAUGCUCGUAGUUGGAUUUCUGGGGGCUGAUUCUGGACGGCGGCUAUGGCCGCCACCGGUUUCUUCCUUCAUCCACCUGUUAACGUUGUUCGAGAUUCAUUUCUCGGCUUCGGGCUCAGGUAUUUUACCCUUACUAUAUUCAUUUAUUUAUCUUCUUUUUGAGCAAAUUAUAGUGUUUCAGGCAGGCGUGCGCCGGAAUACUUUAGCAUGGAAUAAUCGAAUUGGACUGUGUUCCUUAUUUGUUGGUUUGAUGGGCACAGAAUGGUUAAUAGGGAUAGUAAUUUUCAGGGGAGGCAUUAGUAUUUAAUUUCCAGAGGUGAAAUUCUUUGAAAUAUUAAAGACUAACUUAUGCGAAAGCAUUUAUUUUGCCAAUAAUGUUUUCAUUAAUCAUUGAACGAAAGUUAGGGGAUCAAAGACGAUCAGAUACCGUCCUAGUCUUAACCAUAAACGUUGCCGACUAGGGAUCGGAGGGCGUGCACAUUCCGCCUUCGGCACCUUACGAGAAAUCAAAGUCUUUUGGGUUCUGGGGGUAGUAUGGUCGCAAGGCUGAAACUUAAAGGAAUUGACGGAAGGGCACCACCAGGAGUGGAGCUUGCGGCUCAAUUUGACUCAACACGGGAAAUCUUACCAGGUCCAGACAUAGCGAGGAUUGACAGAUUGAUAGCUCUUUCUUGAUUCUAUGGGUAUUUUUGGUGGUGCAUGGCCGUUCUUAGUUGGUGGAGUGAUUUGUCUGGUUAAUUCCGUUAAACGAACGAGACCUCAGCCUGCUAAAUAGUUACUUGUCUUUCUUUUACGAGACAUGUUAACUUCUUAGAGGGACGUUGUGUGCAACCACAAGGAAGUUGAGGCAAUAACAGGUCUGUGAUGCCCCUAGAUGUCCUGGGCCGCACGCGUGCUACACUGAUACGUACAACGAGGUAUAUGUAUUUAUACAUCGAUGCUGCUCCGAAAUAGACAAAGCUAAAUCUUCUAAAAUACGUAUCGUGCUGCGGAUAGAUCGUUGAAAUUAUGAAUCUUGAAGGUGGAAUUCCUAGUAAGCGCGGGUCAUCAACCCGCGUUGAUUACGUCCCUGCCCUUUGUACACACCGCCCGUCGCUCCUACCAAUUUCGAGUGGCUCGGUGAACCUCUUUGGACUGUCGAGCAAUCGCGAAAUUAGAGUGAACCUGGUCAC
rnacentral:rRNA from 1 species